AUUUUACCACCAUGAAAGACACAAAAAACUUGUCGAUACGAAGACCCGCUGAGGUGAGAGACCAUUGGCAUCAGAUGGCAAGAAAUAUUGGACGGGUUCAUCCAAUUUUUUGUAUUCCAGUCGGUAAUAAUCCAGACCUGGCGAAUUUAGGAUUUAUAUCUGCUCUUUCCAGAGGAGGAAAGAUUGUUCGUCCACAUGAGGCCAAACAAUUUGCAAAAUUUACUGAAAAUAUG